rnacentral:rRNA from 1 species
AUCUUGCGCAAUGGGCGAAAGCCUGACGCAGCCAUGCCGCGUGAAUGAUGAAGGUCUUAGGAUUGUAAAAUUCUUUCAGCGGGGACGAUAAUGACGGUACCCGCAGAAGAAGCUCCGGCUAACUUCGUGCCAGCAGCCGCGGUAAUACGAAGGGGGCUAGCGCUGCUCGGAAUUACUGGGCGUAAAGGGCGCGUAGGCGGACAGUUAGGUCAGAGGUAAAAGCCCGGGGCUCAACCCUGGAACCGCCUUUGAUACUGGCUGUCUUGAGUUCGGGAGAGGUGUGUGGAACUCCGAGUGUAGAGGUGAAAUUCGUAGAUAUUCGGAAGAACACCAGUGGCGAAGGCGACACACUGGCCCGAUACUGACGCUGAGGCGCGAAAGCGUGGGGAGCAAACAG